UACGGAAGGGGCUAGCGUUGUUCGGAAUUACUGGGCGUAAAGAGCGCGUAGGCGGCUUACCAAGUUGGGGGUGAAAUCCCGGUGCUCAACUCCGGAACUGCCUUCAAAACUGGUAGGCUCGAGUCCGGAAGAGGGGCGUGGAAUUCCCAGUGUAGAGGUGAAAUUCGUAGAUAUUGGGAAGAACACCGGUGGCGAAGGCGGCGCUCUGGUCCGGUACUGACGCUGAGGCGCGAAAGCGUGGGGCGCAAACAGG
rnacentral:rRNA from 1 species